GGGAACUGCAUCUGAUACUGGCAAGCUUGAGUCUCGUAGAGGGGGGUAGAAUUCCAGGUGUAGCGGUGAAAUGCGUAGAGAUCUGGAGGAAUACCGGUGGCGAAGGCGGCCCCCUGGACGAAGACUGACGCUCAGGUGCGAAAGCGUGGGGAGCAAACAGGAUUAGAUACCCUGGUAGUCCACGCCGUAAACGAUGUCGACUUGGAGGUUGUGCCCUUGAGGCGUGGCUUCCGGAGCUAACGCGUUAAGUCGACCGCCUGGGGAGUACGGCCGCAAGGUUAAAACUCAAAUGAAUUGACGGGGGCCCGCACAAGCGGUGGAGCAUGUGGUUUAAUUCGAUGCAACGCGAAGAACC
rnacentral:rRNA from 1 species